GAUGAAGAACGCAGCGAAAUGCGAUAAGUAAUGUGAAUUGCAGAAUUCAGUGAAUCAUCGAAUCUUUGAACGCACCUUGUACUCCUUGGUAUUCCGAGGAGUAUGCCUGUUUGAGUGUCAUGAAAUUCUCAACUGCCUUUUUAGCAUUUAUGUUAAGGGUGAAGUUGGAGUUGGAGGAUAAUUGCUGGCGCACAACUUAGGUUGUUUGUUAGCUCCUCCUAAAUGGAUGAGCUUUUCUAAUAGAUCAUGGCUCAGUAACACUAAUGUGAUAAUUAUCUACAUUAAAUGUGAAAGCUAUGAGUAGAGUAACUUCAAUUGUGGAGAAGCUCCUAUAGAAAGGGUAUGUCUUGGGGAUAAAUAAACCCUUGACUUGAAAUAUAAUGACAAAUCUGACCUCAAAUCAGGUAGGACUACCCGCUGAACUUAAGCAUAUCAAUAAGCGAAGGA
rnacentral:misc_RNA from 1 species